rnacentral:rRNA from 1 species
GAUGAACGCUGGCGGCGUGCCUAAUACAUGCAAGUCGAGCGAACAGACGAGGAGCUUGCUCCUUUGACGUUAGCGGCGGACGGGUGAGUAACACGUAGGUAACCUACCUAUAAGACUGGGAUAACUUCGGGAAACCGGAUCUAAUACCGGAUAAGAUUUCGAACCGCAUGGUUCGAUAGUGAAAGAUGGCUUUGCUAUCACUUAUAGAUGGACCUGCGCCGUAUUAGCUAGUUGGUAAGGUAACGGCUUACCAAGGCAACGAUACGUAGCCGACCUGAGAGGGUGAUCGGCCACACUGGAACUGAGACACGGUCCAGACUCCUACGGGAGGCAGCAGUAGGGAAUCUUCCGCAAUGGGCGAAAGCCUGACGGAGCAACGCCGCGUGAGUGAUGAAGGUCUUCGGAUCGUAAAACUCUGUUAUUAGGGAAGAACAAACGUAUAAGUAACUGUGCACGUCUUGACGGUACCUAAUCAGAAAGCCACGGCUAACUACGUG